rnacentral:rRNA from 1 species
AUUGAACGCUGGCGGUAUGCUUAACACAUGCAAGUCGAACGGUAGCAGGCCUUCGGGCGCUGACGAGUGGCGGACGGGUGCGUAAUGCAUAGGAAUCUGCCUAUUAGUGGGGGAUAACGUGGGGAAACUCACGCUAAUACCGCAUACGACCUACGGGUGAAAGGUGGGGAUCUUCGGACCUGCCGCUAAUAGAUGAGCCUAUGUUGGAUUAGCUAGUUGGUAGGGUAAAGGCCUACCAAGGCGACGAUCCAUAGCUGGUCUGAGAGGAUGAUCAGCCACACUGGGACUGAGACACGGCCCAGACUCCUACGGGAGGCAGCAGUGGGGAAUAUCGGACAAUGGGCGAAAGCCUGAUCCAGCAAUACCGCGUGUGUGAAGAAGGCCUGAGGGUUGUAAAGCACUUUCAAUGGGAAGGAAUACCUAUCGGUUAAUACCCGGUAGACCGACAUUACCCAUACAAGAAGCACCGGCUAACUCCGUGCCAGCCGCCGCGGUAAAAC